rnacentral:rRNA from 1 species
GAUGAACGCUAGCGGCAGGCCUAAUACAUGCAAGUCGAGGGGUAGAAGAGGCUUGCUUCUUUGAGACCGGCGCACGGGUGCGUAACGCGUAUGCAACCUACCUUCAUCUGGGGGAUAGCCCGGAGGAAUCCGGAUUAAUACCGCAUAAAAUCACAGGAUGGCAUUAUCCAAUGCUCAAACAAUUAUGGGAUGGAGAUGGGCAUGCGUGUCAUUAGCUAGUGGGCGGGGUAACGGCCCACCAAGGAGACGAUGACUAGGGGAUCUGAGAGCAUGGCCCCCCACACUUGUACUGAGACACGGACCAGACUCCUACGGGAGGGAGCAGUAGGGAAUAUUGGUCAAUGGAGGCAACUCUGAACCAGCCAUGCCGCGUGCAGGAAGACUGCCCUAUGGGUUGUAAACUGCUUUUAUUCGGGAAUAAACCUUAUUACGUGUAAUAAGCUGAAUGUACCGAAGGAAUAAGGAUCGGCUAACUCCGUGCCAGCAGCCGCCGUAA